GCAAAGGCUCUUUUAAGAGCCACCCACAAAUUCAGUAAAAGAGCCU
rfam:Merops nubicus contig85947, whole genome shotgun sequence.